rnacentral:rRNA from 1 species
AUCAUACUGUGAAACUGCGAAUGGCUCAUUAAAUCAGUUAUCGUUUAUUUGAUAGUACCUUUACCUGGAUAACCGUGGUAAUUCUAGAGCUAAUACAUGCUAAAAAUCCCGACUUCGGAAGGGAUGUAUUUAUUAGAUAAAAAACCAAUGCCCUUCGGGGCUCCUUGGUGAUUCAUGAUAACUUAACGAAUCGCAUGGCCUUGCGCCGGCGAUGGUUCAUUCAAAUUUCUGCCCUAUCAACUUUCGAUGGUAGGAUAGUGGCCUACCAUGGUCUCAACGGGUAACGGGGAAUUAGGGUUCUAUUCCGGAGAGGGAGCCUGAGAAACGGCUACCACAUCCAAGGAAGGCAGCAGGCGCGCAAAUUACCCAAUCCCAAUUCGGGGAGGUAGUGACAAUAAAUACUGAUACAGGGCUCUUUUGGGUCUUGUAAUUGGAAUGAGUACAAUCUAAAUCCCUUAACGAGGAACAAUUGGAGGGCAAGUCUGGUGCCAGCAGCCGCGGUAAUUCCAGCUCCAAUAGCGUAUAUUAAAGUUGUUGCCGUUAAAAAGCUCGUAGUUGAACCUUGGGCCUGGCUGAUCUGUCCUCCUAAUCGAGCGCACGGAUUCGGUCGGGCCUUUCCUUCUGGGGAGCCCGAUGCCCUUCACUGGGCGUCGUGGGGAACCAGGACUUUUACCUUGAAAAAAUUAGAGUGUUCAAAGCAGGCCUUUGCUCGAAUACAUUAGCAUGGAAUAAUAGAAUAGGACAGAGGUUCUAUUUUGUUGGUUUCUAGGACCGCUGUAAUGAUUAAUAGGGAUAGUCGGGGGCGUCCGUAUUCAAUUGUCAGAGGUGAAAUUCUUGGAUUUAUUGAAGACGAACUACUGCGAAAGCAUUCGCCAAGGAUGUUUUCAUUAAUCAGUGAACGAAAGUUAGGGGAUCGAAGACGAUCAGAUACCGUCGUAGUCUUAACCAUAAACUAUGCCGACUAGGGAUCGGACGGUGGUUUUUUAUUGCCCCGUUCGGCACCUUACGAGAAAUCAAAG